rnacentral:rRNA from 1 species
UACGUAGGGGGCAAGCGUUGUCCGGAUUUAUUGGGCGUAAAGAGCGUGUAGGCGGCCAGACAGGUCCGUUGUGAAAACUCGAGGCUCAACCUCGGGACGUCGAUGGAAACCGUCUGGCUAGAGUCCGGAAGAGGAGAGUGGAAUUCCUGGUGUAGCGGUGAAAUGCGCAGAUAUCAGGAAGAACACCCGUGGCGAAGGCGGCUCUCUGGGACGGUACUGACGCUGAGACGCGAAAGCGUGGGGAGCGAACAGG